rnacentral:rRNA from 1 species
AUGGUAGAAGGUGACAAAAAGUGGAGGUUCACAUGGAUUUAUGGUGAACCGAACUGGGACUGGAAGGAGAGAACAUGGACAAAUUUACGUGACUUACAUGAGUUGGUUAAAAUUCCAUGGCUUGUGCUAGGAGACUUUAAUGAAAUUCUAUUAAAUUCAGAGAAGGAAGGAGGCAAUCCAAGGCCCAUGAGAUUUAUGCAAGAUUUCCAGGACUGUCUAGAUCAUUGCGGCCUAAGUGAUAUGGAAUUUGUGGGUGAUAAGUAUAAAUGGAGACGUGGCAAAAUUAGGGAAAGGCUGGACAGACCGGUGUCUUCGUCAGAAUGGAGAAAUUUAUUUCCUUUUGCUGCGUUGGUUAAUGAGAGUAUGACGAAAUCAGAUCACCGUCCAAUUGUU